AUGUUUGGAAGAGGAGCUUUUGUUGUUUGCAGUGAAGACCCCCAGCAGACCCCUGCUGUAAUGACCUGCAUGGGUCCCCAUCUUUGUGGCUUGCCUCUCUCCACACUUGGCUUCAGAGUGUGGCUGCUGCUGCCAAUGGUGUUCUUGGAGAAUUUACUUAGUCAAACUCAGCCAGAAGCCUGGAUUCAGGUCUGGGGUUCUACAGCUAAUAAGGCCACGUAGAGCUUGGACAACAUUAGAAAGAAACCCCCAGAGAAGUUUAAAGCAUGAAAAUUGAAUUUCUGACAAAAGGCCAACCUAACUUGGACUCUUUCCUCUGGAGAAGAAAAGCCAUCAAGUAUGUGAAAGACCACUCCACAGAAGGUUGUGGAUAAUUGUUCUGUCUCUACUAAGAAUAAAACUGGUGGAAAAACAUUUAACUGCUACA
rnacentral:lncRNA from 12 species